AUCUCGUCUCAUCACGUGGGCCUUUAUCAUCUCACCUCGGCUCAGGAAGAAGGCAGCAGUUCAACAAAGAAGACACUUCUGAGCACUGACUGUCUACAGGCAGGGACCUGAGUGGGGGCACCCACCUCCUCCCCAGGGGAGCUCACGGCCUAGUGAGGACACAGCACAGAGACCACUUUUCAAUCUGACUCCCCCUUGUGAAGACAGAGCUUUGCUCAGCCCUGGCCCUUUGACCUGCUUUGUGGAGGGCACUGUUUCAAGGAAGAAGGAGCUUUUGCCCCCCAACCCCAGAAUGCACUGGGGCGGAUCUCCAUGCAGGAUUCUGAGGAAGAAGACUCAGCCCUGCUCCCGAGGAGCCCCCAGCGUGUGGGAGAGAACCAGCCCCUGCCCUCAGACUGCCUCCGCCAGUCUGAAGGUACAACGUGGAAACGGUCGGAAAGCAAAUCUUUGUCUCUGCCCUAUCCCAGUGCCGUGGGCCCCUUCCUUCCAGUGGCUUCAACUGUGAUGAUUCCACCCUGAAGCAUCCCCUGCCUCUAGAGCGUUCUUGCCCAGCUUCCUGUGGUUUGAUUCACUCACACGUACUUUUAAAGUCAAUUAAACUCAUCACAUCAGAAUCAAA